GGGAGCUUUUGGGGGUGGCACAGACCAGGGGGUAGCGACUGUUUACCAAAAACACAGGUGCAUGCGAAGGCGCAAGCCGCUGUAUAUGCACUGACGCCUGCCCGGUGCCGGAAGGUUAAGAGGAUCCGUCAGCCUUCGGGUGAAGCGGUGAAUUCAAGCCCCGGUAAACGGCGGUGGUAACUAUAACCAUCCUAAGGUAGCGAAAUUCCUUGUCGGGUAAGUUCCGACCUGCACGAAUGGCGUAACGACUUCCCCACUGUCUCGACCAGGAGCUCGGCGAAAUUGCAGUACGAGUAAAGAUGCUCGUUAAGCGCAGAAGGACGAAAAGACCCCGGGACCUUUACUAUACCUUGGUAUUGGCAUUCGGUGUGGAUUGUGUAGCAUAGGCGGGAGGCCGAGAGGCGCGGUCGCCAGAUCGCGCGGAGCCGUAAGGUGAAAUACCGCUCUGUUCGCAUUGGAUGUCUAACCUCGAACAGUCAUCCUGUUCAGGGACAGUGCCUGGCGGGUAGUUUAACUGGGGCGGUUGCCUCCCAAAGAGUAACGGAGGCGCCCAAAGGUCCGCUCAGCCCGGUUGGCAAUCGGGUGGCGAGUGCAAGUGCACAAGCGGGCUUGACUGCGAGGACGACGGUCCGAGCAGGGACGAAAGUCGGGACUAGUGAUCCGGUGCCGGUGUACGGACGCGGCAUCGCUCAACGGAUAAAAGGUACCCCGGGGAUAACAGGCUGAUCAUUCCCAAGAGUCCAUAUCGACGGGAUGGUUUGGCACCUCGAUGUCGGCUCGUCGCAUCCUGGGGCUGGAGCAGGUCCCAAGGGUUCGGCUGUUCGCCGAUUAAAGCGGCACGCGAGCUGGGUUCAGAACGUCGUGAGACAGUUUGGUCUCUAUCCUCUGCGCUCGUUGGAAUGCUGAGGAGGCCUGCCCAUAGUACGAGAGGACCUGGGUGGACGAACCUCUGGUAUGCCGGUUGUCACGCCAGUGGCACGGCCGGUUGGCUACGUUCGGAAGGGAUAACCGCUGAAAGCAUCUAAGCGGGAAGCCUGCUCCAAGAUAAGCAUUCCGUGGAACCUUCGAGUUCCUGUAGUCCCCAUGCAGAACACGUGGUCGAUAGGCCGGACGUGGAAGCCCCGCGAGGGGUGGAGCCGACCGGUACUAACGGACGAAAGGCAACACUAA
rnacentral:rRNA from 1 species